rnacentral:rRNA from 1 species
UGGGGAAUUUUGGACAAUGGGCGCAAGCCUGAUCCAGCCAUGCCGCGUGCAGGAUGAAGGCCCUCGGGUUGUAAACUGCUUUUGUACGGAACGAAAAGCCUCUUUCUAAUAAAGAGGGGUGAUGACGGUACCGUAAGAAUAAGCACCGGCUAACUACGUGCCAGCAGCCGCGGUAAUACGUAGGGUGCGAGCGUUAAUCGGAAUUACUGGGCGUAAAGCGUGCGCAGGUGGUUGUGUAAGUCAGAUGUGAAAUCCCCGGGCUCAACCUGGGAACUGCAUUUGAGACUGCACGGCUAGAGGAUGGCAGAGGGGGGUAGAAUUCCACGUGUAGCAGUGAAAUGCGUAGAGAUGUGGAGGAAUACCGAUGGCGAAGGCAGCCCCCUGGGCUAUUACCGACACUCAUGCACGAAAGCGUGGGGAGCAAACA